UACGUAGGGUGCGAGCGUUGCCCGGAUUCAUUGGGCGUAAAGGGCGCGUAGGCGGCUCGGCACGUCCGUUGUGAAAUCGCCCGGCUCAACUGGGCGGGGUCGGCGGAUACGGCCGAGCUGGAGCAAGCUAGGGGGUAAUGGAAUUCCCGGUGUAGUGGUGGAAUGCGUAGAUAUCGGGAGGAACACCAGUGGCGAAGGCGGUUACCUGGAGCUUUGCUGACGCUGAUGCGCGAAAGCGUGGGGAGCGAUCCGG
rnacentral:rRNA from 1 species